UGCAAGUCGAACGGUGAAGGAGGAGCUUGCUCCUUUGGAUCAGUGGCGAACGGGUGAGUAACACGUGAGUAACCUGCCCCAGACUCUGGGAUAAGCACUGGAAACGGUGUCUAAUACCGGAUACGAGCUUCAGCCGCAUGGCUAGGAGCUGGAAAGAAUUUCGGUCUGGGAUGGACUCGCGGCCUAUCAGCUAGUUGGUGAGGUAAUGGCUCACCAAGGCGACGACGGGUAGCCGGCCUGAGAGGGUGACCGGCCACACUGGGACUGAGACACGGCCCAGACUCCUACGGGAGGCAGCAGUGGGGAAUAUUGCACAAUGGGCGCAAGCCUGAUGCAGCAACGCCGCGUGAGGGACGACGGCCUUCGGGUUGUAAACCUCUUUUAGUAGGGAAGAAGCGAAAGUGACGGUACCUGCAGAAAAAGCACCGGCUAACUACGUGCCAGCAGCCGCGGUAAUACGUAGGGUGCAAGCGUUAUCCGGAAUUAUUGGGCGUAAAGAGCUCGUAGGCGGUUUGUCGCGUCUGCUGUGAAAACUGGAGGCUCAACCUCCAGCCUGCAGUGGGUACGGGCAGACUAGAGUGCGGUAGGGGAGAUUGGAAUUCCUGGUGUAGCGGUGGAAUGCGCAGAUAUCAGGAGGAACACCGAUGGCGAAGGCAGAUCUCUGGGCCGUAACUGACGCUGAGGAGCGAAAGCAUGGGGAGCGAACAGGAUUAGAUACCCUGGUAGUCCAUGCCGUAAACGUUGGGAACUAGAUGUAGGGACCAUUCCACGGUUUCUGUGUCGCAGCUAACGCAUUAAGUUCCCCGCCUGGGGAGUACGGCCGCAAGGCUAAAACUCAAAGGAAUUAACGGGGGCCCGCACAAGCGGCGGAACAUGCGGAUUAAUUC
rnacentral:rRNA from 1 species